rnacentral:rRNA from 1 species
AUUGAACGCUGGCGGCAUGCCUUACACAUGCAAGUCGAACGGCAGCGGACCUUCGGGUGCCGGCGAGUGGCGAACGGGUGAGUAAUGCAUCGGAACGUACCUUUCAGUGGGGGAUAACGUAGCGAAAGUUACGCUAAUACCGCAUAUUCUGUGAGCAGGAAAGCAGGGGAUCGCAAGACCCUGCGCUGAUUGAGCGGCCGAUGUCAGAUUAGCUAGUUGGUGAGGUAAAGGCUCACCAAGGCGACGAUCUGUAGCGGGUCUGAGAGGAUGAUCCGCCACACUGGAACUGAGACACGGUCCAGACUCCUAUGGGAGGCAGCAGUGGGGAAUUUUGGACAAUGGGGGCAACCCUGAUCCAGCCAUGCCGCGUGAGUGAAGAAGGCCUUCGGGUUGUAAAGCUCUUUCGGCCGGGAAGAAAUCGCACGGGCUAAUACCCUGUGUGGAUGACGGUACCGGAAUAAGAAGCACCGGCUAACUACGUGCCAGCCGCCGCCGUAACAC